UGUCUUUGAGGCGGGGAGCAUUUCCCCACCGGCGGUAUAGCCCGCGAGCCCUUGGGAGCAUGAUCCGGUGAGAUUCCGGAGCCGACCGUAUAGUCGGGACGAGAAAAGGC
rnacentral:ncRNA from 1 species